AGAACGUCGUGAGACAGUUCGGUCCCUAUCUGCCGUGGGCGUUGGAGAUUUGAGAAGAGUUGCUCCUAGUACGAGAGGACCGGAGUGAACGAACCUCUGGUGUUCGGGUUGUCACGCCAGUGGCAUUGCCCGGUAGCUAUGUUCGGACGGGAUAAACGCUGAAAGCAUCUAAGCGUGAAGCCUCCUUCAAGAUGAGAUCUCCCUGGGAUCUUGAAUCCCCUAAAGGGCCGUUCGAGACUAGGACGUUGAUAGGCUGGGUGUGGAAGCACGGUGACGUGUUGAGCUAACCAGUACUAAUUGCCCGUGAGGCUUGACCAU
rnacentral:ncRNA from 1 species